rnacentral:rRNA from 1 species
AUUGAACGCUGGCGGCAGGCCUAACACAUGCAAGUCGAGCGCGCGGCGGACGGGUGAGUGAUGUCUGGGAAACUGCCUGCUGGAGCGGGAUAACUACUCGAAACGGUAGCUAAUACCCCAUACCAUCCUAUAUGCCCAGAUGGGAUUGGCUCGUAGGUGGGGUAAUGGCUCACCUAGUCGACGAUCCCUAGCUGUGCUGAGAGGAUGAUCAGCCACACUGGGACUGAGACACGGCCCAGACUCCUACGGGAGGCAGCAGUGGGGAAUAUUGCACAAUGGGCGCAAGCCUGAUCCAGCCAUGCCGCGUGUAUGAAGAAGGCCUUCGGGUUGUAAAGUACUUUCAGUCGGGAGGCGUUACCGACAGAAGAAGCACCGGCUAACUCCGUGCCAGCCGCCGCGGUAAUUC